GACGACCGCUGGCGGCGUGCUUAACACAUGCAAGUCGAACGAAGUGGGACCGGGUGAGUAAUACGUGAGUAACCUCCCUCCUUUUUGGGAUAAGCCUUGGAAACGGGGUCUAAACCGGAUAGAUGGGCCCGCGGCCUAUCCGCUUGUUGGUGGGGUGAUUGCCUACCAAGGCGGAGACUGGUAGCCGGCCUGAGAGGGUGGCCGGCAACAUGGGAACUGAGAUACGGCCCAGACUCCUACGGGUGGCAGCAGUGGGGAAUUUUGAAGGAUUGGAGCAAGCCUGAAGGAGCAACGCCGCGUGAGUGAAGAAGGUUUUCGGUUGGGAAAGCUCUGUUGUAAGAGAAGCGGUAUCGUACCAGAAAGCCACGGCUAACUACGUGCCAGCAGCCGCGGUAAUUC
rnacentral:rRNA from 1 species